rnacentral:rRNA from 1 species
UAACACUGAAUGGAGGACCGAACCGACUUACGUUGAAAAGUGAGCGGAUGAACUGAGGGUAGCGGAGAAAUUCCAAUCGAACCUGGAGAUAGCUGGUUCUCUCCGAAAUAGCUUUAGGGCUAGCCUCAAGUGAUGAUUAUUGGAGGUAGAGCACUGUUUGGACGAGGGGCCCCUCUCGGGUUACCGAAUUCAGACAAACUCCGAAUGCCAAUUAAUUUAACUUGGGAGUCAGAACAUGGGUGAUAAGGUCCGUGUUCGAAAGGGAAACAGCCCAGACCACCAGCUAAGGUCCCAAAAUAUAUGUUAAGUGGAAAAGGAUGUGGCGUUGCCCAGACAACUAGGAUGUUGGCUUAGAAGCAGCCAUCAUUUAAAGAGUGCGUAAUAGCUCACUAGUCGAGUGACACUGCGCCGAAAAUGUACCGGGGCUAAACAUAUUACCGAAGCUGUGGAUUGUCCUUUGGACAAUGGUAGGAGAGCGUUCUAAGGGCGUUGAAGCAUGAUCGUAAGGACAUGUGGAGCGCUUAGAAGUGAGAAUGCCGGUGUGAGUAGCGAAAGACGGGUGAGAAUCCCGUCCACCGAUUGACUAAGGUUUCCAGAGGAAGGCUCGUCCGCUCUGGGUUAGUCGGGUCCUAA